AGGUAGCAUUCAAAAGAGAUGCCUACCCGAUACAACUUCCUAGAGUAAAGUUACUUCCUGCUUGUGGUAUUGUUAGCAAGUCCUGCAAGUCUCAAAUGACAAGACAGUG
rnacentral:snoRNA from 1 species